ensembl:lncRNA uncharacterized LOC115496828
GGGGGCGGGGCCAGAGCGGUGUGAGGGCUCCGCGCCGCGGGUCCCGUCCCGCUCGUCUUUAAACGAAACUUCCCCGCCGCCGGGGCAGGACACACUGGGAACCCUCUAGAGAAGCCUGAGCGUGGUUGUGGAGUAUUGACAGCAGCGUUACGGUGCAUGGACACGGUGGUCACGGCGAGAGAAUCACAGAAUGUGUCAGGCCGGAGCGCAGUCGGGCCUCUGGGCUCCUGCAGGCCCAUCGCAGAGCGCACGGCGCGGGGCCGGGUUGUCUCCUGUGAGGGCGGCUCCCUGCUCGCUCUGGACGAGCCACAGAAAAACCAUUGCACUGAUACCAAUGAGAGCAGAUGCAGAGCUCUGUAACCACCUGUCUCUCUCUGGUAGAGAAUUGGAAGAGCAGGGGGACGUGUGUCUUGUAUUGCCAUUACUGACUCUCCACAUCAUCUUCCGUGUGCAGAGGCCUGGGCUCCUGUUUCAGCGGUUGUGUGAAGUUAAUUAAGGAAUUCCUGUGUUCUAAUCUCCACAUCGGAAACACGCCAAGCCUGACUAACUUUUCUGGAGAAGCAAGAUGCAAAACUGGAAGUAAACAGGAUCUCGGUGCAACAAUACCUUUAUCUAAAUGAGUUUGAUUCUUGUUCUCUGAUUGGAACUAUUGUCAAGAUGUUGAAGUGCAUCAGCAAAAAUCCAUAAUUUUCCAAAUAUAAGUGUGUGCUGUUAAGGCAAAUGAGCAGCUCCCAUUGCUAUAUGUAGUCUCACCUAAAAUGUAAGAAACAUCCCUUGGUACAGCUGUUGAUGUUGUGCAUAUGACAGUCUCUGUGCCCUGGCUUACAUGAGCUGGCUCUGGCUGCUUCAGCAUUUUUUGAGUUUUCCAGCUACUGUCUUAAUUCAUCCUGUCAUUGCUGGUUGCAGAUUUUUGAAGUCGACACCUGAGUCACUUGGUCACUGCCCCUUUAUAAAGUCCUUGUGCUACAGCUCCAGUGAGUCCUGGUGAACCACUGCAGCUUCAUACAAGUGGGCUCCAUGGCACCUUUUCACUUCAGAAGCAACCAGUGCUUUGUUUUUGUUUGGAAAUGAUGCUUUUCCUCUGCAACUCUCUGCAAUGGACUAACAGAGGACUCCAGAAAUUGCCUGACUUUUAUCCCGCUUUCAAAGCAGGAGCUUUCCAACAGAAAUUGCAGACAGUCCGAAUUUUUCAUCUACCCUUAGCUAGUUGUAGGCUUGAGAGCAGGAUUGUGCGACUGGGAAAUUAAUCGGUCUUGAAACUUCACAAUUAAUCAUAGCACAGCCAGGGCUGUGCUCGAGAAUUUAAGGAAAAAAUCCUUAUGGGUAUUAGGUGCUUGAUCACCCCAGAAAUCAAAGAUUGUGUAUGUUCUAACUUUGCUGAACACAUCUCUGAAAGCAGUUAAUUUUAUUGCUGAUCCAGCUUUUCUUUCUCUUAGCCAUAUGACAACUACAAAAAUUGAUUAUACGGAAAAGUAAUGUUAGGAAAGCGCUUAAUGCAUUUUUAGCUGCUUCUAAUGGGAUUUAGCAGCUGGAAACAAGGAGAGCUGGCACUGAGUAAUCAGGGCUGUUCUUAGACAGCUGUGUGGGAACCAGAGUAUCAGGACUCAGAAAUAAAUCACCAUUUUUUUUCCUGUAUUUUAAAAAACGCAGUAUAUGCAAUGAAGAAUUUGAAAGGUAGCCCUCAAUACUUGCAGCUCAGACAGUUAACUUGAAGUCAAAUGGAAUUCAUUGUUAAAUCCAGUUCUGUAAUAACUUCUAGAUGAAAAUGCCCCUGGGUUCUAUGUGAUUUUUUUUUUUUUAUUUAAUGCUUAUGGCGGUUACUGCUGCCCAUCUUUGAAAGGCCUCAGGUUUAGAUUUAAAAUCCAUGCUACAUUAAUUUUUAAGCAGAACAAAAAUGUAGUUAUUUCUGCUCCCCUUUUCUCUUUAUGAGCAACAAUCCAAGAGACCCAUUUUCCUAUUUUGGAAGAAAGCAAUUUUAUGCAUGUUUGUGCCUAGGACUUGCAGUCAGAAAAAUGUCUUGGUAAAAUGGCCCUUCCAUAGGUUUUCAGUCUGAAUAGUUCCUAUACUCAGUUCCAUUUACAAAUCAAAAGCAUGAUUUUCAACUUAAGCAAUGUAAACUGAGUCUUGAAGCCCCCUGUUACACCAUGGUCGGUGUUUUGCCACUGAAAUGCACCAAAAAAGUUUUUUUGGUGAUGCCUAAAGGGGAAUACAGUUCCACUGUGUGGGAAUGGAGUGCAUCCAUUUGUCAGAGUUUUAGUCAAAAAAAACAGUUAUAUUUUUUGGUCCUCCUAAAGUGCUUUAAGUAUUUAACACUGUCAUGAAAAAAAACCAAAACAAAACAAAAAAACAACAAAACCAAAACAGGAUUGUGUGCCUAGAGUAAGAAGGUACCUUUUUUCUCAUACUAUUUUCCUUAUGGAAGGAAAUUACUUUGGGAUAAAAUCUAAGCAGUCAUAUCUAGGUCUGUGGUAGUACUUCGUGUUAGUGUCAGGUCCUGCUGACCCCUGUAGCAGUUUAUAUUAAUGAAAUUGCAAAAUUCAGGGUCUAAGCAGGAUUAUUUAGGUGGAAACCUAUGGAACUGGAGCUCACAGUCAAGGAUAUCCUGUCUGUGAUAAUUUUAAUUCUGCCUGCAUAUUCUUUAACAAGUCCUGUGCCAUUGGUUUGCAAGUCUGCCUCACUUCUCUGUGUUUCAUUACAUUUAAAGAGUGUAUCCUUGGCCUUUCCUCACCUUAAGGUGAAUUCUAUGCCCUAAAAACAAUUUCUAGAGCACAAUUCAUCUACUAGAUUCCAAAUUUAAUCAAAACUUUUUGGAAUUACACAUAAUCCUUUGUACUUUUCCUUCUGCUAAAGCUGUUUGCGAUGCUGUUGUAAAGCUGUUUUGACUCUACUAGAUACCCUGGUUAUUUUUUCAUUUCAAAUUGGUGUCAGCCAUGUCACUGAAGUGGCAGUAGAAAAUGUUCGUUUUAACAGGGUUCAUGGAUCAAAAAGUUGAGCUCAAAGAAGAUAUCUUGUAACUUACUAGUAAACACUGCAAUAGUGAAACUGAGAAGUCGAAAUAGACCUCUGAGAAAAUGGAAAAUAUUCCCAAGAGCAGUCUAAAAUGUCAUUGCUUUAUCUUAAAAUAGAAUGUUUUGCUGCCUUAUGAAGUGCAGAUCCAAAUAACUGCAAAUUGUUAGACCCUCAGAAGGAUCCCCUGGCACAGUUUGGGGGACCUGUUGGUGUAUGUUUAAGUGUGCAUGUGUGUCCAGGAAAAGAUAAGGCAUUACCCCCCUACUAUUCCUUUUUCACUUUUCCCCUUAUUCUCCACUUCAGACAUAAAACACUGUGGUCACAUCUCUUUUUGUACCAGAACAUUUUCAGGGUAUGCCUUUUUACUGUGAAGUUCUGUGAGUGCCUCCAGCAGGCAGGAACAGAGCUCUGCUGCUCUUUGGGAAUGGUCUCCUGACCUGGAGAACAAGGCAGACACUGGGAAGAGCCCUAGAGCUGCUCCCCCAGGGUGCCAACCCCCACCUCUUCGUUGGCUUGCAGUCAUCACUUUUAUUUUGCAAUUUCCAUAAUUAAGUUUGAGGCUUUACAGAUUAGUCUGUGAUGUGGAAGAACUAGACUUUUUGAAGAACAGAUGCUUCAAAAGCAUGCUUAAAACUUAAGAAAAUUUCAAGUGUUCCUGUGCUGAAUCUCCUUAACAACUGCAGUCCUGGCAUAGUUGUUGUCACCUAGAGCUGAUGAAUUAAAAAAAGAUGAAUUAAAAAAAGACUGAUGAAUUAAAUCAGUCAUAUAAGGGAUUGGGGCAUAAGUGUUUUCUCAGUGUUUGAAUAGGAUAUGUAGUGUGAGAAAAGUAAGAAGACAUCCUUGUAUGUAUUGUGUAUGCCUGUUAUGAGCAUGCAUUUUUGUUGUUAGGGUUCAAAGGCUUUAGUAAUAAUUCAAAUGGUAUUUGUGAUUUUUUUUUCCUGAAGUGAAAUGAAGACUGUGUUUCUCUUUUGGAUUAUAUAUAUAAAUAUGAUUGAUUCCCUUGGGGGUGUUUUUCAUCGCUGUUAAUUUUGGUGCUCUGGUCAGAUGUAGUUUCUGAAUACCUAGAGUUCCCCGGUGGUAGCAGAAAUUUAAAUGAAUGACAUAAUUUUCUCCUCCUGUGCCAGUGCUAUUGUGUGGGAAUGCUGUAUUCUACAAAAUGAGCUUCCGUUUUUAUCUUAGGCGUGGCUGUCCUUCCGCAGUGCACACAAUGCCCUGGUUUGAGUCCAUUGUGCCAUUUAUGUCUUACAUAGAUGCACCUAGACUGGGGAGUCUGAUUUGUAAAAUUGCUUUUAAGGGCUUUUAAAUUCUUGAUAAUAAAAGAAACACAUUUGC